rnacentral:rRNA from 1 species
GAUGAACGCUGGCGGCGUGCCUAAUACAUGCAAGUCGAGCGAACAGACGAGGAGCGUGCUCCUCUGACGUUAGUGGCGGACGGGUGAGUAACACGUGGAUAACCUACCUAUAAGACUGGGAUAACUUCGGGAAACCGGAGCUAAUACCGGAUAACAUGCUGAACCGCAUGGUUCAACAGUGAAAGACGGUCUUGCUGUCACUUAUAGAUGGUUCCGCGCCGCAUUAGCUAGUUGGUAAGGUAACGGCUUACCAAGGCUACGAUGCGUAGCUGACCUGAGAGGGUGAUCGGCCACACUGGAACUGAGACACGGUCCAGACUCCUACGGGAGGCAGCAGGAGGGAAUCUUCCGCAAUGGGCGAAAGCCUGACGGAGCAAUGCCGCGUGAGUGAAGAAGGUCUUCGGAUCGUAAAACUCUGUUAGUAGGGAAGAACGAAUGUGUAAGUAACUAUGCACGUCUUGACGGUACCUAAUCAGAAAGCCACGGCUAACUACGUG